GCAUUAGUGCUGGUAUGAUCGCA
rnacentral:siRNA from 1 species